UGCUAUCGGGGUUCGAUUAAGCCAUGCGAGUCGAGAGGUGCAAGACCUCGGCGCACUGCUCAGUAACACGUGGAUAACCUACCCUCAGGAGGGGGAUAACCCCGGGAAACUGGGGAUAAUACCCCAUAGACCAGAGACGCUGGAAUGCCCCCUGGUUCAAAGGUCCGCCGCCUGAGGAUGGGUCUGCGGCCGAUUAGGUUGUUGUUGGGGUAACGGCCCAACAAGCCUUUGAUCGGUACGGGUUGUGAGAGCAAGAGCCCGGAGAUGGAUUCUGAGACACGAAUCCAGGCCCUACGGGGCGCAGCAGGCGCGAAAACUUUACAAUGCGAGAAAUCGUGAUAAGGGAACCCCGAGUGCCCGUAAAUUCGGGCUGUCCAUCAGUGUAAAAAGCUGGUGAAGAAAGGGCCGGGCAAGACCGGUGCCAGCCGCCGCGGUAAUACCGGCGGCUCGAGUGGUGGCCACUAUUACUGGGCUUAAAGCGUCCGUAGCUUGAUUGUUAAGUCUCUUGGG
rnacentral:rRNA from 1 species